UACGAAGGGGGCUAGCGUUGCUCGGAAUCACUGGGCGUAAAGCGCACGUAGGCGGGUCGUUAAGUCAGGGGUGAAAUCCUGGAGCUCAACUCCAGAACUGCCUUUGAUACUGGCGAUCUCGAGUCCGGGAGAGGUGAGUGGAACUGCGAGUGUAGAGGUGAAAUUCGUAGAUAUUCGCAAGAACACCAGUGGCGAAGGCGGCUCACUGGCCCGGUACUGACGCUGAGGUGCGAAAGCGUGGGGAGCAAACAGGG
rnacentral:rRNA from 1 species